UCCCAUUUUUUUCCAAGGACUUUUUUUCCUGGAAAAAUUGGAAAAUUUGUGGAAAAAUUAAAAAAAAAACCUCUUAUGAAAUAUUUUCUUUUAGAAUGAUGAAAAAAAUGUUUAAGUUAAGGUGUUCAUAUAUUGCUACCCUUUACUUCCCAAAAAUGUUUUCUAAUAACUAUGUAAUAGUCUCACAUAAAAGUAUCAGAUCAUUACAAUUCCUGUACACCGAGGACAAGCAGUACAGUACAACUUUCCAAUGCAAGAGCAAGAUGCAUUUCUGCCCACAGGGGGCGCUGCCAUUUUCACAAGAGAGAGAUUCAGUGCUUUCUUUGCUUGUGGACUUCCUCUAUUGUUGACUUUUGAUCUAGAGGUUGGUGGAUCUGUUCCUGUCCUCCUGACUAGGCCUCAAAGGACUGGGAGUGGACACUGGCUGCAGCAUCCAUUCAUUCCUGUAGAGAUUAGAAACAAGGAGCUUAUUGCCCUGCUUGCUCAAAAGCCUCAGGAGGAGAGACAGAGCAAGUCUAAAGGUUUUGGAGUUGAAAGGAACCUGCUUUCUCCUGGCCCUGUGAUGUUGAGAUCCACAGAAAUACAGAAGCUGCACAAAGGAGCUGAAAGUAUACUUCUUUAUUGAAAGCAAAAUGGUGCGAGCAACUUCUAGCAUAUGGAAGCAUUUCUACACUGCAAGUUAUUCUGAGGGGGAAAAAAAGUGAUUUGCAAAUACUGUCAAAUUAAAUAUGCAUUUCCAAAUGCUACUAGGAUUACCAGACACAUCCUUGUAUGCAAGAAGUGUCCUGCAGACAUUAAAAAGUCCUUCAUAGGUGUAAAUGAGGAGGAGGUAGAUCAUGAUGGUGAAAGUGCAAGUAGCUCUUUCCAACAUUCUUGAUCCAGAAGUCAUCUGCUACUGCUGCUUCUGCUGCUGCUCCCAAUCAACAUCCUCAAGUAACCAUAUAUUGCAACCAACUAUACAAAAUAGAGAUGCACCAAUGCAUUGGUCUGAUAUUGGUACUGAUCAGAUAUAAAGAAAAUUGCCUAUAUCAGAUAUUGGCCCAAUGGAGCUGAUAAUUUGGCUGAUAAAUGCCUGUGCUGCGUGCAGCCACAGUGGAGCAUAGAGCAGAGCCAGCAGCAUGGAGAGCUUCCUCCAGCUGGCAAGUCAGAAGGUGAGGGGGAGGGUAGGAGAGUGUUGUGGGUGGCAGAUCAACACCCCCUGAGGUGUGAGGCAGGGGGCAGGGGCAGGCACUGGCAGGGUGGGGGGGGACAGGGAUGUGGGAUAGAGCCACAGCUCAUGGUGUGGUGGUGGCUCCUGCUGCUGUUUCCACCCUGGGAGGGUGAGGGGGCAUGUGCCUCCAGAUCUGUGCGGUGCGGGGCGGGCUGCAGUUGCAGGGUGGAGCUGGCACUGCACAGGGCUUGUCUGGCCAAGGACUGGGCUUGGAGCAGGCUCUGGUGGUGUUGGGAGGAGGCUGCAGCCACCCCAGAUUUCACUGCAGCUCUACUCCCAGCCCAGCCCGCCACCCAGUGCAGCCACGGCUUUUCCUGGCACUUGGGUGGAGGCAGGCCAUUCAGCCAGGGCUGCGGUGGGUAGUGGCAUGGGGCUAGGAGCGGAGCUGCGGUGAAAUUUGGGGUGGCUACAGCCUCCUCCCAGUACUGCCAGAGCCCACACAGCUCCAGCUCUAUGCUGCAGCCUGCCCCGCACUGCACCGCACGGAUCUGGGAGCACAGGCUCCACCCUCCUGGGGUGGAAGCAGUAGUGGGAGCUGCCGCCACCCCACGAUCUGUCUCGCCAUUCUGCACCCUGCCCUCUAGCUGCUCUGGCUGGGCAGCGCCUGCUCCUGCCCCUUCCUGCACUGUGGGGGGGUGUUGAUCUGCUUCCCCCUCAUGCCCCUUCCUUCCCCCACUCCUCUUCCAGCACACUGGACUUACCACCUGAUGGUAGCUGUAUCAGAUCGUUAUCGGCCAAUAUAUCUCCUUAAAUAUUGGCCUCCAAAAUCUCUACCGGUGCACCCCUAAUACAAAAGACUCUCAAUAGCUUUGUUUGUAGACAAGAUGAUACCUGAAGAUCAGGAAAAAAUUGACCAAGCUCUUGUAAAAACAAUAUAUUCUUCUGGGAUGUCAUUGUCAAAAACUGAAAAUGCAGACUGGCAAGAAGCUUUUAAAUUACUAAGACCAUCAUACCAUUUGCCCAGCAGACAUUCUUUGAGCAAGCCUCUUUUAGAGUCAAAAUAUGAACAUGUAAUGUAGUCCGUGCAAAGAAUAAUCAACAAAACACUGUGUCUUGCAGUAGUUACAGAUGGAUGGACAAAUGUGCGGGGAGAAGGAAUCAUAAACUUUGUAAAAAACUGGUUGAGGUGUUAUCACAGAAGCAUUGAAACAGGAGGGAACAGGUAUACUGCAGAGUAUAUCAGUAGUAAGAUAUGUGAAGUCUUACAGAAGAUUGGGAAUGGUAAAGUAUUUGCUUUGCUGACUGGCAACGCAAGUAACAUGAAAGCAGCAUGGGAGAUCAUGAUCAUAAUGAAUAAAUAUCCACAUAUUACUACAAUAGGUUGUGCACCCCAUGGGCUAAACUUGCUUCUUAAAGACAUCAUGAAGUUGGAUACUCUGCAAAAGAUCUAUAGAAGAGCAAAAGAAGUUCUGAAUCAUGUAAAAGCUACUCAUGUUGUAGCUGCUGUCUUUAAGAAGAAGCAGGAAGAAAAGAAUGCAAAUAAUAAAAUAGUGACACUCAAACUCUGUAGUAAAACUAGAUGGGGUGGAGUGGUGAUCUCAUUUGGAAGUUUACUAAAAAAACAAGUGCUUCAAGAAGCACUAAUUGAGGAUCUUAAAGUAACCAGAAGUGUGAGGAACUCUGUACUUAAUGACAGUGUCUUCUGGGUUUAGUUGCAGAACUCCCUGAAGAUUCUAAAACCAAUUUCUCCAGCAAUCACCGCAUCUCAAUCAGACAGUGAGCUUUUGUCAGACAUUCCUUACCAAAUGGUCCAGGUAAAAUCAACUGUUUUUGAGAAUCCAAGUGUAUCUCUGCUUACAAGUAAAAAAGAGAAAAGUGAAAGACUUUAUUAACAGAUGGGAAGAAUUCUGUUGCUAAUCAAUUCAUGCUGCUGCAAAUCUCUUGGAUCCAGGAUUCAAAGGCAGAAAUGUUAGUGAAGUAGCACUGCUGCUGCAUUUGACUUGGUUACAAAAGUAACACGCUUAGGACUUGUUUUUGGAAAGUGUAAAGAGGGACCGGCUAAAAACUAAAUACUUCAAACAGGGAAAGAGAUCGAGCAGGGAGAAUGCUGUUUCCAGAGCAGCUGUUCCUUGAGGAUUGAAAAGCCUGGCGUGGGACGGUAUGGCACACUGGAAGGGAGAAGAGCGAAAGAAGGCUCCAAGGGAGAGAAACCAUGGAAUACUACUGGGACGGCAGAAUCUCAGGAACCGGUCCUGCAUAUGGAGAGGGCAUGACCAGAGGAGUAAGCUGGGAGUCCCUGGAGACUUAAGUUGACUCUCAGAUCGUCCCAAGGAAGAGAAGAAAGUCGGGAGAAACCAUGAGAAGGGAGGAGCCGUGGAAGCUCCUUGGGUGCAACAAAAGCUGAGUUCAUUUUUUUCUUUUCAUUUGACAUUAAUAGAGACUAACUGUGCUCCAGGAGUGCUUGAGGGAAGAGCGAGUCUGACUCAUGGCUACUUCCCCACCCUUACGGAAAAGAAAUGGGAGUGCCCUGAAGGGCAUAGUGAGACAAGAUCUCAUCAAAGAAGAAGAAAAGAAACUGAAAGUAAAAUUUCCUGUUAUGUUAAAAAUGGUUCAGUAGUUGUCUUAAGUAAUAUACAACAAUAUAAAGAUAAGAUUCUACCAAAAAAAGGUUUCCAAGGGGACAAUUAAAAGUAUAUAAAACAGAUUGAAAUAGCUGCAAUCCAUCUGUCUAUGAACUGGUUGUGGAUGUUAAAAAAAAAAAAAAAAAAAAAAUAAUAAUAAUAAUAAAGAUAAUUGUUCAACACAUAUAAGACUUGGAUUGAGUUGAUGAUAGAAAUCGUGGGUGUUGUCCGAGAGAGCCAAAGGAGAGAGCAUGGCACAGAUAAGAAUCUAGAUAGAUUGCCAGUGUCCUACUGCAGCAAUAACACCUCCCAACUAAUAAUAUCGAAAUUAAUCCAGACGUGGCAGGCGAGAGUCAGACUAUACUACAGGAGGCCCUAGACAGGGCAGUAGGUGAAAACCUCACAGCAACGUACUUUCUGAAGUUGCAGAAUACAGAACAUCUUCAGGUAUCUGGUCCAGGAAUGCAGUCUAGAACUCUGCCAAGCAUAUCCCUCCAGCAACAUGAUGGCAAGGGCUUUGUAUGACACAGCCUUUGACUCCUCUUGCUUCUCACCUGCUUCAGAUUCCUCCAUCUUCUGCAGCAUGAAAUACUCACACCAAGUCAAGAAAUAAACUAAUGUGUGAAAGAGUAAAGAAGUUUGUCUCAAUCCAGGCAAACCUUCAGUUUUCAGAAGUUCAUGAAGAUGAUAAAGUAUCAGAAGAAGCAGAAACUGCUGGUAGUGGUAGCUCAGAAAAUGAGACUGAUUAGACAAAGUUUCACAUAGCAAAAUUUGUAUUCAGUGAGUUGGGGCUUUUUUCCCCUUUUUUCUCAGCUCUUUUUCUAAAAAUGAGUACUUUCUAUAUCUGCUUGACACUGUGGAGGAGACUAAGUCCAGAAUACAUAAUAACUUCCAUGUUGAUGGUUUCUUCUAUUUUCAACUUUAAUUUUUGCCUGCUUCUCAUAAACUGGCAAAAACUAAGAGAUGUUAGAGUUCAGCAGCUUGUAGCUCCAUUUGUAACAAAAAAUUAAAACAUUUGAAAGUAAA